rnacentral:RNase_P_RNA from 1 species
CCGACCGACCGAGGCAAUCGCGGGCACCAAGUGCGAAAGCCGGUGCGUGAGGAAAGUCCGGGCUUCACAGGACAAGGGUGCCGGGUAACGCCCGGUGAAGGCGACUUUAAGGAAAGUGCAACAGAAAAGAAAACCGCCCCAUUGCUUCUCGAAGCGAAUGGAGCAAGGAUGAAAAGGCGAGGUAAGAGCUCACCGGCGGUAUGGAGACAUACCGGCCUUGUAAACCCCACCCGAAGCAACGUCGUGGAAGGCAACCGUGGUCCGCGGGCCUUAGGAGACGGCUUGAGCCUGAGGGCAACUUCAGGCCACAGAUAGAUGAUUGCAUUUAACAGAACCCGGCUUACCGGCCGUGUCGGAAAA